rnacentral:misc_RNA from 1 species
GAAAUGCGAUAACUAAUGUGAAUUGCAGAAUUCAGUGAAUCAUCGAGUCUUUGAACGCACAUUGCGCCCUCUGGUAUUCCGGAGGGCAUGCCUGUCCGAGCGUCAUUGCUGCCCUCAAGCCCGGCUUGUGUGUUGGGCCCCGUCCCCCCGGGGACGGGCCCGAAAGGCAGCGGCGGCACCGCGUCCGGUCCUCGAGCGUAUGGGGCUUCGUCACCCGCUCUUGCAGGCCCGGCCGGCGCUUGCCGACCCCCUCAAUCUAUUUUUCUCAGGUUGACCUCGGAUCAGGUAGGGAUACCCGCUGAACUUAA